rnacentral:lncRNA from 1 species
GGAAGUUAGGAGGGCUGGGGCUGAGCAGCCUGGCCUAAAAAGGACAGCUUUCGCUAUUCGGCCAAGUCGUAGUCCAGAAGAAAUAGUUCUCCAGGCCACGACGUAAGGAUGAGUCAACCCCUUUCAAAAGACAUGAAGAGAAAACAACGACCUGAGCCCUAGGACCAUGCCUCAGGACUACCUGGCUUGUUGACUCCUUGCUGUCCCCAGUUCACCUGGCCGUGCUGCUGCUCCAGUUCCAACUGUUCUGCCUGCAGCUAUGGAACCCUGACCUGUUCACCGGACGUGCUACCUGUCCCAGACCUGUUGUCCCAGACCUGCUGGAACCUUGACCUAUUCACCGGACGUGCUACCUGUCCCAGACCUGCUGUUUUCAACUCUCUAGAGACAGCAGGAGCGGAUGAGGAUCCGAGCCAGAGCUGUGUGGACUGUAGCCUAUAUACUGUAGGCAAGGAACUUCUAUAAAAAUAGUCUAAAUCAAAACAAAUGCUACUCUUUAUUACUUUGCAAGUAUGAAUAUUUACUACUUAAAAAUAUCAGAGGAUUGAUUAGUCAGUGCUUCAUCCAUACGAUACUACCUUGUUUGUAAGUGCUUUGUGGGAAGAUGAAACUUUAUGAAUAACCUACCCAGGCUCAGAGAGCAUAACAAUUACGG